rnacentral:rRNA from 1 species
UACGUAGGUGGCAAGCGUUGUUCGGAAUUAUUGGGCGUAAAGGGCGCGUAGGCGGUCUUGUAAGUCAGCUGUGAAAGCCCGGGGCUCAACCCCGGAGGGUCGGCUGAUACUGCAGGACUGGAGUACGGAAGAGGUAGCUGGAAUUCCCGGUGUAGCGGUGAAAUGCGUAGAUAUCAGGAGGAACACCGGUGGCGAAGGCGGCUACCUGGACAGAAACUGACGCUGAGGCGCGAAAGCUAGGGGAGCAAACAGG